rnacentral:lncRNA from 1 species
GAAUUAAAUAGUUCAGAAAGAACAAGGAUUGUGCUGUAAAUUGUGCUAAAAUUCAGGGGUCCAAUUACAAAUUAUCCAGGAGCUUGAUUAUAUAAUUGCGAAACCCCAAGGACUAAAUCAAAAAUAGCCAUUUGAAUUGAUAAACGGAGCUGUUUCCUGGACAACUGUUCAUUGCCUUCUUCCUCGGCAACUGUUUCAACAACAAAAGCACUAAAUUGUUUCACGGCUGCUAUCCCUCAGCAUGUCAUUACCAAACCAAUUGUUACAACUGCAUGGCAUUCUCUGGCCUUGAAAGGGGUCAAAAAAGAAGGAAAACACAGAGAACGGGAGGAAGUGAAAAAAAAAAAGAAGGAAAGGAACUGGAAAAUUAAAAAAAAAAAAAGGAAAAAAGCAGAGGAACUAAAAUCCAGAGAGAGGAGGAACAAGCAAAGAGAAGAACAGAAAAGAGAGAACAGGACGUACAACACAGAUGGCUGCACCGAGAAGAACAGAAGAGAGAACACAAAAAAAAGACAGAGGCAGAAUUGAACAAGCACCGAGAAGAACAGAAGAGAGAACACAAAAACACAGAGGAACCAGAGAGGAGAACGACUAGAGAGAAACAAAAAAAAGACAGAGGCAGAAUUGAAGAAAGGAGCGUUAACGACCAACAACCUCACAUCUUCGUCUGUUUCAGCUACAGGUAAGUUUCAUACAUUCCUCCCACUUUGCAUUUUAAUUACAUAGGUACUAUGCAUCUUCAUUUAUAAUUAACUUCUUCCUCUGUAGGCCUGCUGGGUCCAGCCCUGUUUUCUCAAACAAUAAACAAAUAAAAAAAAAAAUUCACUACAAUAUCUUAGAAUAUAUCAAACAAUUAAAGAAAAUAAUUUAUUUUAAGAGUGUACUUGUAUACUAAUACUUUUAUUUACAUAAUUAUUCCUCGUAUAUGAUCUUUUUGACCAGUUAACAUUCUCAAUUAUCAAAAUACUAAGUAACGAUUUCUAUUAUAUCUAUACAAAAAUAAAAACAAGAAAUUCUUAUCUCCCUAUUUUUCCCUAUUUUUCCGGGAUACCAACAUUAAGAGUGGAUGCUAUCGCCUUGACACCAGACAUGUGUGAUACUGUGCUUGAGAAUAAUCUGCCCCAUAAAGAUCCAUUUGAUCUGAUACUGAAGAAAGGUAAGCUAUGGCGUAGUGUAGUCUUUGUGGAGAAAAUUAGUGGUGAUGAUUGAUAACAAGGAUACAAAGAAGAUGAAGAUGAGUGUGAACUGAUUGAAGGAAGUGCUAUUUGGAAAUUUGGCUGUGGAGUUCGUUAAUUGUUCAAUAAAUGAGCAGAAGACAGCUUCUGCUCCUUGCUGUGCUCCACUUGAAGUUGAUU